UACGUAGGGGGCGAGCGUUGUCCGAAGUUACUGGGCGUAAAGCGCGCGUAGGCGGCUCAUUAAGUCUGGGGUGAAAGGUUCAGCGCUCAACGCGAACAGUGCCUUGGAUACUGUUGAGCUUGGGUCCGGGAGGGGGCAGUGGAAUUCCUGGUGUAGCGGUGAAAUGCGUAGAUAUCAGGAGGAACACCAGUGGCGAAGGCGGCUGCCUGGCCUAGGACCGACGCUGAGGUGCGAAAGCGUGGGGAGCAAACGGG
rnacentral:rRNA from 1 species